rnacentral:autocatalytically_spliced_intron from 1 species
CGUAGAGACUGAAUCCGAGUAUUCGCCUCAAGGCAAAUACUAGGUGAAGAUAGCAGAUUUAACAACUGUUAUAAAACGUUGGCUCCCUCCCCAGUUUUGAUUUUAGAAAUUUCUAUUUUCAAAAUUGGGGAAGGAUGAAGAUAUAGUCCAUGCCCCAAUGAAAAUUGGGG